AGGAUGACAGCGAAAAACUUCAUAAAGAGACGAUUCAUUCAGGUUAUCCAAAUUUAUCCCACAGUCUUUUCCAAUCAAAUACAGAAACAUUUUUAUUUACUAGUUAAUGCACGAACAAUUAGAAGACGAGCUGUUGAGGCCGAGUUGUUCUGUUGACGUUCAGCCAGAAAGUUCUACUUCAGCAAAAAAUUGAAAGGCCAAACUCAUAUUUGCGAAAACUCAUCUCGAUUGAAGCAUUCAGAAAUUGAAUACCAUUUUAUUCUCAGACGAAUCGAAAUAUAAUAUUAAAGUUUCGGACGGCAUAAGAUGUGUGAGAAGGCCGAAAGAACAAGGACUCAAACCUAAGUAUUAUGUUGCGACCAUUUAAUAUGGCGGUGGUAAUGUUAUGGUCUGGAGCUCUUUCUCUGGGCACGGGUCUGGACCUAUUCAUUUAAUAAAUGGAAUAAGAAACCGGCUAGUUUACAACGACAUUUUAAACGGGAUGUUACCGUAUGCUGAAAAGGAUAUGUCACUAUAAUGGUAGUUCCAGCAGGACAAUGAUCCUAAGCAUAACUCUAGGCAUUGCAAAACUUGGUUGUGAAGUUACAGAGUUGAUGUUUUAGAUUUGCCUCGAUGUCAAAUCCAACGAAAACUUUUGGGAGAUCGUUAGUUCCAAAAUAAAUAGCGAAAACUGUAAAACCAAGGGUCAACCUUUAGAACCUGAAACAAUUGCUUGGAAUGGCAUACCACAUGAUAUAUAGUAAAUAAUUUAAUUUCUUCUACGCCUAAAAUGUGCUUUUCAGUUAUCCAAAAUAAAGGAUUUGCUACUUUUUUUUUAAUUUUCAGAUAUUAUUUUCAAACCGUUGAAAAGGGUGCUUUAGUUUUGUCCAGUUAAUUUUUAAACCAUAAAUGUUUUUGUUGUUUUAACUUAUUUAAUUUUGAAAACUGAAAAUGAAAAGCUUUAUUUUAAUAAAAAUUAAUAAACAACCCAUUGAAAAAUGUCAAAAUUUUACAUUUAUUUAUUUUUAUUGCCUGAAAACAGCUAAGUUCGAGCUGAACCAUAGUAGGGGGUGCUUUAGUUUUGUCCAAUACUGUAUAAACACAUUCUAUUAAAGACAUUCUUUAAUGUUCAAAUUGGUUGAAUAUAUACAUAAAUAUAUACAUACAUACAUUAGUAAUUGUUAGUUGUUAAAACUUGAAGCUUAAUAAAUCAUGGCAAAACACAAUAAAAAUUUGAAUAGUAAAAUACAAAUUUUUGAAACCAUUUUAUUCGGAAAAAGUGUUUUCGACUUUUAGCUGGCUCUUAAAAGAAGCAAUGUAAAUUUAAAAAAUUUUAUUUUAAUGGCUGAGAUGAACAAUUUUAUGAGGCGUCGUUUCGAGGAAAUUUUCAAAAAAAAAAAUUGUUUUAAAAUUGGAGCUGCAUUGUUAAUUUAUUUUAUUUCGUAAACUUCAUCUACGAUAUACAUACUUGAUAAGGUGUGCGAAAUCCGGGACAUCCAAUACAAAUGAAAGCAAUUUGUUAAAUUUUUUCAAAAUUACAAAAUAUAGAGCUUCAUCAACGAGAAAAAGGUUUCUAGUGACUCCAAAUAAAAUAUUUAAUCAUUAAAAGACAAUGUAAUUUUCAAGCGAAUAUAAUACAAUUAUGAUAUAUUGGUAACAAUAAAGAAAUAUGAGCAACAACAAAAAAGUGCAAACAAAAUGAAAUGAUAAUUUUGUUCAAAAUAUAUUUUAUACGUAUUUUUUAUUUUAUUAAAGCUUAUUAAAACAGUUGCAUUCCAGUGGAGUGUGUGCAAAAGACAAAAAGAAAAGCAAAAAAUUGUGCAUGAUUCUCGAAUUGCCACUUCGCAAGUCUAGAGAUUUUUCGAGUGCUACAUGUUUCAAAAGUAGAUUGAAGGUUGUUUAAUUAUUAUCGAAAAACAUUUUCCCAAUAUUUAAA